GUUGGAUCUCUUUAUUUCCAAUCAUCAUGUUGUUGCACUUCAUUCGGAAGUCACUUCACGUCUCCAUGAGAAUGACUUACUUUAUGUAGAGCUUUAGGAGCUUCAAGAUGCCAUAGAUAAAUUAAAGACCAAGCUUUUGGGAAAUUGAGUCAGCUGCCCAAGACAUUAAAGGCUCAAUAGCCUCCGAUACGAAGGCGCAGGGUACCACACCAUUGUUGACUUUGAGGCUUUAGCUAUUCCCCUCUCUUCAGUUCGACAGGUCAUAGCCUUUAGAUCAUGAACUUUCGUAGUUUUUUCCAUUUCCUGUAUCAGAAAAUU
rnacentral:lncRNA from 1 species